rnacentral:rRNA from 1 species
AGUGAACGCUGGCGGUAGGCCUAACACAUGCGAGUCGAACGGCAGCACAGUAAGAGCUUGCUCUUACGGGUGGCGAGUGGCGGACGGGUGAGGAAUACAUCGGAAUCUACUUUUUCGUGGGGGAUAACGUAGGGAAACUUACGCUAAUACCGCAUACGACCUACGGGUGAAAGCAGGGGAUCUUCGGACCUUGCGCGAUUGAAUGAGCCGAUUUCGGAUUAGCUAGUUGGCGGGGUAAAGGCCCACCAAGGCGACGAUCCGUAGCUGGUCUGAGAGGAUGAUCAGCCACACUGGAACUGAGACACGGUCCAGACUCCUACGGGAGGCAGCAGUGGGGAAUAUUGGACAAUGGGCGCAAGCCUGAUCCAGCCAUACCGCGUGGGUGAAGAAGGCCUUCGGGUUGUAAAGCCCUUUUGUUGGGAAAGAAAAGCAGCAGGUUAAUACCCCGCUGUUCUGACGGUACCCAAAGAAUAAGCACCGGCUAACUUCGUG